UCUAAGUGUAAUUUUGCACUAUUUAUGUCAACGUUGUCUUAUUUAAAACUCUUUUAUAUUAGUAUUAUUAUUAUUAUUAGAUGAUAAAAUAUGGAUAGUAUUUUAUGUGUGACUUUUUUAAAAAAAUUCAUAAUUUUUUAAUUAAGAUGGACGGUUAAACUUUGUACAUGAAUAUCCACGGCUGUACUUAUU
rnacentral:pre_miRNA from 1 species